UUUAUGUCACAAAGCUAACAAGAGACAGACC
rnacentral:piRNA from 2 species